rnacentral:rRNA from 1 species
UUGCCUGGCGGCCGUAGCGCGGUGGUCCCACCUGACCCCAUGCCGAACUCAGAAGUGAAACGCCGUAGCGCCGAUGGUAGUGUGGGGUCUCCCCAUGCGAGAGUAGGGAACUGCCAGGCA